rnacentral:rRNA from 1 species
UUGACGCUGAGGUUGGUACUUGUACCACUGGAUGAGCAGCGAACGGGUGAGUAACGCGUGGGGAAUCUGCCUUUGAGCGGGGGACAACAUUUGGAAACGAAUGCUAAUACCGCAUAAAAACUUUAAACACAAGUUUUAAGUUUGAAAGAUGCAAUUGCAUCACUCAAAGAUGAUCCCGCGUUGUAUUAGCUAGUUGGUGAGGUAAAGGCUCACCAAGGCGAUGAUACAUAGCCGACCUGAGAGGGUGAUCGGCCACAUUGGGACUGAGACACGGCCCAAACUCCUACGGGAGGCAGCAGUAGGGAAUCUUCGGCAAUGGACGAAAGUCUGACCGAGCAACGCCGCGUGAGUGAAGAAGGUUUUCGGAUCGUAAAACUCUGUUGGUAGAGAAAACCGUUGGUGAGAGUGGAAAGCUCAUCAAGUGACGGUAACUNCCCAGAAGGGACGGCUAACUNCGUGCCAGCAGCCGCGGUAUACGUAGGUCCCGAGCGUUGUCCGGAUUAUUGGGCGUAAAGCGAGCCCAGGUGGUUANUAAGUCUGGUGUAAAGGCAGUGGCUCANC